rnacentral:rRNA from 1 species
GAUGAACGCUGGCGGCGUGCCUAAUACAUGCAAGUCGAGCGAACAGACGAGGAGCUUGCUCCUUUGACGUUAGCGGCGGACGGGUGAGUAACACGUGGAUAACCUACCUAUAAGACUGGGAUAACUUCGGGAAACCGGAGCUAAUACCGGAUAACAUGUUGAACCGCAUGGUUCAACAGUGAAAGACGGUCUUGCUGUCACUUAUAGAUGGAUCCGCGCCGCAUUAGCUAGUUGGUAAGGUAACGGCUUACCAAGGCAACGAUGCGUAGCCGACCUGAGAGGGUGAUCGGCCACACUGGAACUGAGACACGGUCCAGACUCCUACGGGAGGCAGCAGUAGGGAAUCUUCCGCAAUGGGCGAAAGCCUGACGGAGCAACGCCGCGUGAGUGAAGAAGGUCUUCGGAUCGUAAAACUCUGUUAUUAGGGAAGAACAAAUGUGUAAGUAACUAUGCACGUCUUGACGGUACCUAAUCAGAAAGCCACAGCUAACUACGUG